rnacentral:misc_RNA from 1 species
CGAACCACUUCUCUACAAGAAUAUCAAAUGAAUUAGAAUACGUAUCAGUCCAAUGGAAAUAUAUGUGCUCAUAAACACAGACACAUAGGUGCUAGUAAUGAACAUCCUAGAAGUUUCACUAUUGUUGCAAAUUGAAAAGAAAAACAUGGACCCAAAAUGAAGAUAUUUGGCUGGACAGAAAAAAAGUAAUUGAUUUUCUCUGAGAGAGAGAGAGAGAG